AAUCAACGCUGGCGGCGUGCCUCAGACAUGCAAGUCGAACGCGAAAGUCCCCUUCGGGGGACAAGUAGAGUGGCGCACGGGUGAGUAACACGUAGGUAAUCUACCUUCGGGAUGGGGAAUAACAAUCGGAAACGGUUGCUAAUAACCGCAUAAUGCAGCGGCACCUAAUGGUGACAGUUGUUAAAGCGGGGGAUCGAAAGGACCUCGCGUCUGAAGAGGAGCCUGCGGCGGAUUAGCUAGUGGU
rnacentral:rRNA from 1 species